rnacentral:rRNA from 1 species
AGCGCGGAAUUCAUGCACUUAGUAAUUGGAAUGAAGGGAAUCUAAACCCCUUCCAGAGUAUCAAUUGGAGGGCAAGUCUGGUGCCAGCAGCCGCGGUAAUUCCAGCUCCAAUAGCGUAUAUUAAAAUUGUUGCAGUUAAAAAGCUCGUAGUUGAAUUUCUGCUGCAUCGCCGAGGCUCCUUUGCGAGUUUGGGUGUUUUGUGGCUUAUCUCGGGCUCGCUUGCGUCUCCCGGUGUUUUACUUUGAGAAAAUUAGAGUGCUCAAAGCAGGCUUUUGCCUUGAAUAGUUUAGCAUGGAAUAAUAAAGUAGGACUUUGGUUCUAUUUUGUUGGUUUUAGGUACCAGAGUAAUGGUUAAUAGGAACAGUUGGGGGCAUUCGUAUUUAACUGUCAGAGGUGAAGAUCUUAGA